CCGAAACUUAAAGGAAUUGACGGAAGGGCACCACCAGGAGUGGAAUCUGCGGCUAAUUGACUCAACGCGGGAAAACUCACCAGGUCAGGACACGGUAAGGAUUGACGGACUGAAGGCUCUUUCUCGAUUCCGUGGAAAGUGGUGCAUGGCCGUUUUUGGUUGGUGGAUCGAUCCGUCUGGUUAAUUCCGUUAACGAACGAGACCUCGGCACUCCGAAUAGCGCGGCGGACGUCGCGGCCUCCGGGCCGUCUUCCGCACGAGCUUCUUAGAGGGACCGUCCCCCGCCGGGGAAGGAGGUGCGAGGCAACGACAGGUCUGUGAUGCCCUUAGAUGUUCUGGGCCGCACGCGCAUUACACUGACGCGUCCAACGGGUGACUCCCGACCCGAAGGGGCCGGGGAAUCCGCAAGGCGCGUCGUGAUGGGGAUUGAACGUUGCAAUUGUUGUUCACGAACGAGGAAUUCCUAGUAGGCGCGGGUCAUCAACCCGCGCCGAUUACGUCCCCUGCCCUUUUGUACACACCGCG
rnacentral:rRNA from 1 species